GACGAACGCUGGCGGCGUGCCUAAUACAUGCAAGUAGAACGCUGAAGAGAGGAGCUUGCUCUUCUUGGAUGAGUUGCGAACGGGUGAGUAACGCGUAGGUAACCUGCCUUGUAGCGGGGGAUAACUAUUGGAAACGAUAGCUAAUACCGCAUAACAAUGGAUGACACAUGUCAUUUAUUUGAAAGGGGCAAUUGCUCCACUACAAGAUGGACCUGCGUUGUAUUAGCUAGUAGGUGAGGUAAUGGCUCACCUAGGCGACGAUGCAUAGCCGACCUGAGAGGGUGAUCGGCCACACUGGGACUGAGACACGGCCCAGACUCCUACGGGAGGCAGCAGUAGGGAAUCUUCGGCAAUGGGGGCAACCCUGACCGAGCAACGCCGCGUGAGUGAAGAAGGUUUUCGGAUCGUAAAGCUCUGUUGUAAGUCAAGAACGGGUGUGAGAGUGGAAAGUUCACACUGUGACGGUAGCUUACCAGAAAGGGACGGCUAACUACGUGCCAGCAGCCGCGGUAAUACGUAGGUCCCGAGCGUUGUCCGGAUUUAUUGGGCGUAAAGCGAGCGCAGGCGGUUUGAUAAGUCUGAAGUUAAAGGCUGUGGCUCAACCAUAGUUCGCUUUGGAAACUGUCAAACUUGAGUGCAGAAGGGGAGAGUGGAAUUCCAUGUGUAGCGGUGAAAUGCGUAGAUAUAUGGAGGAACACCGGUGGCGAAAGCGGCUCUCUGGUCUGUAACUGACGCUGAGGCUCGAAAGCGUGGGGAGCGAACAGGAUUAGAUACCCUGGUAGUCCACGCCGUAAACGAUGAGUGCUAGGUGUUGGAUCCUUUCCGGGAUUCAGUGCCGCAGCUAACGCAUUAAGCACUCCGCCUGGGGAGUACGACCGCAAGGUUGAAACUCAAAGGAAUUGACGGGGGCCCGCACAAGCGGUGGAGCAUGUGGUUUAAUUCGAAGCAACGCGAAGAACCUUACCAGGUCUUGACAUCCCGAUGCUAUUUCUAGAGAUAGAAAGUUACUUCGGUACAUCGGUGACAGGUGGUGCAUGGUUGUCGUCAGCUCGUGUCGUGAGAUGUUGGGUUAAGUCCCGCAACGAGCGCAACCCCUAUUGUUAGUUGCCAUCAUUCAGUUGGGCACUCUAGCGAGACUGCCGGUAAUAAACCGGAGGAAGGUGGGGAUGACGUCAAAUCAUCAUGCCCCUUAUGACCUGGGCUACACACGUGCUACAAUGGUUGGUACAACGAGUUGCGAGUCGGUGACGGCGAGCUAAUCUCUUAAAGCCAAUCUCAGUUCGGAUUGUAGGCUGCAACUCGCCUACAUGAAGUCGGAAUCGCUAGUAAUCGCGGAUCAGCACGCCGCGGUGAAUACGUUCCCGGGCCU
rnacentral:rRNA from 1 species